CAAAUACUCCCUCCGUCCGGAAAUACUUGUCAUCAAAAUGGAUAAAAGGAAAUGUAUCUAGACGUAUUUUAGUUUUAGAUACAUCUCUUUUUAUCCAUUUUGAUGACAAGUAUUUUUGGACGGAGGGAGUAGAAA
rfam:Triticum aestivum genome assembly, contig: Triticum_aestivum_CS42_TGACv1_scaffold_424642_5BS